UGCAGUCGAACGAUGACGGUGGUGCUUGCACCACCUGAUUAGUGGCGAACGGGUGAGUAACACGUGAGUAACCUGCCCCCCACUUCGGGAUAACCUCGGGAAAUCGUGGCUAAUACCGGAUAUGAGCACUCAUCGCAUGGUGGGUGCUGGAAAGAUUUAUCGGUGGGGGAUGGACUCGCGGCCUAUCAGUUUGUUGGUGAGGUGAUGGCUCACCAAGGCGAUGACGGGUAGCCGGCCUGAGAGGGCGACCGGCCACACUGGGACUGAGACACGGCCCAGACUCCUACGGGAGGCAGCAGUGGGGAAUAUUGCACAAUGGGCGAAAGCCUGAUGCAGCGACGCCGCGUGGGGGAUGACGGCCUUCGGGUUGUAAACCCCUUUCAGUAGGGAAGAAGCGAGAGUGACGGUACCUGCAGAAGAAGCGCCGGCUAACUACGUGCCAGCAGCCGCGGUAAUACGUAGGGCGCAAGCGUUGUCCGGAAUUAUUGGGCGUAAAGAGCUUGUAGGUGGCUUGUCGCGUCUGCCGUGAAAACCCGAGGCUCAACCUCGGGCGUGCGGUGGGUACGGGCAGGCUAGAGUGUGGUAGGGGAGACUGGAACUCCUGGUGUAGCGGUGAAAUGCGCAGAUAUCAGGAAGAACACCGAUGGCGAAGGCAGGUCUCUGGGCCAUUACUGACACUGAGAAGCGAAAGCAUGGGUAGC
rnacentral:rRNA from 1 species